rnacentral:hammerhead_ribozyme from 1 species
AUCCAGCUGUUGAGUCCCAAAUAGGACGAAACAAGUGUCCUGGAU